rnacentral:rRNA from 1 species
UACGUAGGUGGCAAGCGUGUCCGGAUUUACUGGGCGUAAAGGAUGCGUAGGCGGACAUUUUAAGUCAGAUGUGAAAUACCCGAGCUUAACUUGGGUGCUGCAUUUGAAACUGGGUGUCUAGAGUGCAGGAGAGGUAAGUGGAAUUCCUAGUGUAGCGGUGAAAUGCGUAGAGAUUAGGAAGAACACCAGUGGCGAAGGCGACUUACUGGACUGUAACUGACGCUGAGGCAUGAAAGCGUGGGGAGCAAACAGG